rnacentral:rRNA from 1 species
UACGGAGGGUGCGAGCGUUAUCCGGAAUUACUGGGUUUAAAGGGUGCGUAGGCGGCCAUGUAAGUCAGGAGUGAAAGUUUGCGGCUCAACCGUAAAAUUGCUUUUGAUACUGCAUGGCUGGAAUCAGGAUGAGGUCAGCGGAAUGUGGCAUGUAGCGGUGAAAUGCUUAGAUAUGACAUAGAACACCGAUUGCGAAGGCAGCUUGCUACACGAUCAUUGACACUGAGGCACGAAAGCGUGGGGAUCAAACAGG